CAAUAGCGUAUAUUAAAGUUGUUGCAGUUAAAAAGCUCGUAGUUGGAUUUGUGGCGUACGGUGUGUUCCGGGCACUUGUUGUCUGAGUAACCUGCUGUUGCCAUCCUUGGGUGGAACCUGUGUGGCAUUAGGUUGUCGUGCAGGGGAUGCCCAUCAUUUACUGUGAAAAAAUUAGAGUGUUCAAAGCAGGCUUAUGCCGUUGAAUAUAUUAGCAUGGAAUAAUGAGAUAGGACUUUCUUGCUAUUUUGUUGGUUUGCGCAAAGAGGUAAUGAUUAAUAGGGACAGUCGGGGGUAUUCGUAUUCCAUUGUCAGAGGUGAAAUUCUUGGAUUUUUGGAAGACGAACUACUGCGAAAGCAUUUACCAAGGAUGUUUUCAUUAA
rnacentral:rRNA from 1 species